GUCUGAGUCCACCUGGAUGCUGACCUGGGGCACGGGCGGGCGUUGUGGCGGCAGCGGAGGUGGCAGGUGUGACGGAGCGUCCCCGGGGGCGAGGCUGGAGGUCUGGGAGUGGGCAGAGACACUGUUCACAUGGACGGCAGGUUGGAGUGACGAAGAUGAUGACACAUUCUGCAGUGACGGUGUCGUUGUCCCAGCCAGUGUUUGCUGUCGUGCAGUUUCGACGCGCAGUACCUGCGGUCUAAGUCGUUCUGAUCGGAGUUGACUGUCGAGUAAGGGUUCGUCUCCUGAUGUCGUCCAGCCAGGCCAAGUCGUGUUGUGAGAACAUCAGAUCCAGCAGCUUCCUCACGACCAUCAGACCCAGAAUCUACAGACAGCGGACGGAGGAUAAAGGGACACAGUUUCCAGUCCGUUUUCUGUCAAUGGAC